rnacentral:rRNA from 1 species
AGCGGAGGAAAAGAAACCAACAGGGAUUGCCUCAGUAACGGCGAGUGAAGCGGCAGCAGCUCAAAUUUGAAAUCUGGCCCCCUCCCGGGGCCCGAGUUGUAAUUUGCAGAGGGCGCUUCGGCGUCGGCCAUGGCCUAAGUCCCUUGGAACAGGGCGUCACAGAGGGUGAGAAUCCCGUACGUGGCCGCCGGCCUUCGCCAUGUGAAGCCCCUUCGACGAGUCGAGUUGUUUGGGAAUGCAGCUCUAAAUGGGAGGUAAAUUUCUUCUAAAGCUAAAUACCGGCCAGAGACCGAUAGCGCACAAGUAGAGUGAUCGAAAGAUGAAAAGCACUUUGGAAAGAGAGUCAAACAGCACGUGAAAUUGUUGAAAGGGAAGCGCUUGCAGCCAGACUUGCCCGCAGUUGCUCAGCCCGGCCUCGCGCCUGGCGCACUUUUUUGCGGGCAGGCCAGCGUCAGUUCGGGCGGCCGGAUAAAGGCCCCGGGAAUGUAGCUCCCCUCGGGGAGUGUUAUAGCCCGGGGCGCAAUGCGGCCAGCCCGGACUGAGGUCCGCGCUCCGGCUAGGACGCUGGCGUAAUGGCCGCAAGCGGCCCGUCUUGAAACACGGACCAAGGAGUCUAACAUCUAUGCGAGUGUUUGGGUGUCAAGCCCGGGCGCGCAAUGAAAGUGAACGGAGGUGGGAACCCCUCGGGGCGCACCAUCGACCGAUCCUGAUGUCUUCGGAUGGAUUUGAGUAAGAGCAUAGCUGUUGGGACCCGAAAGAUGGUGAACUAUGCCUGAAUAGGGUGAAGCCAGAGGAAACUCUGGUGGAGGCUCGCAGCUGGUUCUGACGUGCAAAUCGAUCGUCAAAUUUGGGCAUAGGGGCGAAAGACUAAUC